GGGAGGUAGUGACAAUAAAUAACAAUACAGGGCUCUUACGGGUCUUGUAAUUGGAAUGAGUACAAUUUAAAUCCCUUAACGAGGAACAAUUGGAGGGCAAGUCUGGUGCCAGCAGCCGCGGUAAUUCCAGCUCCAAUAGCGUAUAUUAAAGUUGUUGCAGUUAAAAAGCUCGUGGUUGAAUUUCGGGGUUUUACCAUUGGUCGGGCUACCAAGUCUGUACUGGUGUGUAGAACUUCUACCUUCUGGGGAACUAUCAUGUUAUUAAUUUAGCGUGGUGGGAAACCAGAACCUUUACCUUGAAAAAAUUAGAGUGUUCAAAGCAGGCUUAUGUCUGAAUACAUUAGCAUGGAAUAAUAGAAUAGGACGGUGGUCCUGUUUUGAUGGUUUCUGAAUCACCGUAAUGAUUAAUAGGGAUAGUUGGG
rnacentral:rRNA from 1 species